GAGUAGGGUUGGGUUAGGAGUAGGGUUAGGGUAAGGUAGGGUUAGUGUUGGGUUAGGAGUAGGGUUAGGAUUAGAGUUGGGUUAGGAAUAGGGUUACGAGUAAGGUUACUCCUAACCCUAAACCUACUCCUAACCCAACCCUAACCCAAACCCUACUCCUACCCCUAACCCUACCCUAACUCUAACCCUACUCUUAGCCCAACCCUAACCCUACUUCUAACCCUACCCUAACCC